GCGAUCACUAACGUCGGGACUCGAAAAUACGUAAUUUGAAAAAUAUUUAAUACAACUGCGGCGGUCAUAUGUCCGGGUGGUCGUAAGUCGAGUAGGUCAUAAGUCGAGGAGUACCUGUUUACAGUACUAAUUAACUUGGAGCUGAAGUGUUGAAAAUUGAAGUGGGGGAUUGAGUUACCUGGCAAGCAUAUGCAGCCACCAGCAUCUCAAGAGGAAAAAUGAUCUUUGAUAACAAGCACUUUGUUUUCAUUUUGCUCUAUUGUACUGUGACAAUAACUACUGUGUUUGUUUUUAGACAUAUUAAGGACUGUAAACCUGGUUAGAAUCUACAAUGCUUUCUGAAUGACCAAAGAGUGAUAUGGACAGCACAAGUACAUAGGUGAUACUGGCCUGUGCUGUGCCCUGAAAACAAAUGCCACCCUGUUCUCUAGGCUCACUGUCUAACAAGGCUGGGCUCAUUAAACAAAAUUCUUGAUCAUUGGCUACUCGUUCAGUGGGACUUUACUGUACUUUGGGCAAUUUAAUUUUGUUAUGUUCAUUCAAAUGUUGACAAUGCUUCCUAGUACAGGGUCUACUGUAGGCAUCAGUUCUUGUUAUAGAUGGAGGGACAGACACAUAACCCACUCAAGCAUAUGUAACCUAGAAUGAUUGUUGAACAGUCCAUCAGUAUUAUGGUAUGUUUUGAUGAAUGUACUGCAUAGUAUUUCAGAUUUUCCAGAAACACAACUUAAGAUGUGUGUAAAUAGGUAUAUGAUGGUGCAGUAAUCGUUUCUUUGAUGUUGGAAAACACUUGCUGUGUAUUACCAGGUAAGUAUAUUCAACUUGCUGCUGUAGUGGCUACCUCACAUAUAUGCAAAAAUGAUAGACCUCGGGUAUCUGGCAACAAAUGCUGGUUGCUCCUAAAGAUCUUUGUGGAACUUAUGUUGGAGAAUAAAUUGUGUUGGGUAUAUGUUGGGCAUGUAAUGAGUAGGUGAGUUGUAGUGAUAUCCUGUACCCUCUCUAUUAUAAGUUGAGGUGGAUGCUACAUAUAACAUCUCUCAUCUAAUACAAAAGGAACAAUUACGAGCACCACACAUGUAUCUCUUCUGUCCCCCAUCAGCUGUUGCCUGUGGUGUAUCUUUCUCAGAGUUCAAGGUUGUUUACGCACACAUUCAGUCAACUUGACAGUAAGCUCUCAGAUAGAUAAUAUUAAUAGUUUUAUGUAAAUUUGUACAAUUGGAAGGAGUAUAUUGAAACACGUGAAAAGAGUUAUAAUUAAUUUUGGUAAGUGUAAGGUGUAAUGUAUGAAAGGAAGUUGUGAUUGUCUUCUUGCAUAUCUGAAGUGAGUUGUAAAAGAUUGUUUUAAAAUGAAAAGAUAAUAAAGAACCUUAAACAAUACAUGUGAUGCAGGCUGUGUAUGAGACACAUGUAGAUGGGGGUGGCAAAUAUUUCAUUGAUACAUUCCUCCAGCAUUGCUUCUGUUAGUGUUGGCUGCAGUGUUGUGUUUUUAAGUUAAGAUACAGAAGUUGUAUACUUUCUCUACAUAGAUCAGAAUUGAAAGUAGUAUAGUCGCUAGGCAUUUCAUUACUUGACCGUAGAAAAUUUAUGUAUCCUUUCAUGUUGUUACAAUAAAUAUUUGUUCUUCUUA
rnacentral:lncRNA from 1 species